rnacentral:rRNA from 1 species
CACGGGGGGAGCAAGCGUUGUUCGGAAUCACUGGGCGUAAAGGGAGUCUAGGCGGUCAGGUAAGUGGAAUGUGAAAUCCCUCGGCUCACCCGAGGACCUGCAUCCCAGACUGCCUGGCUUGAGUAUGGGAGAGGAUGAGGGAAUUCCUGGUGUAGCGGUGAAAUGCGUAGAUAUCAGGAGGAACACCGGUGGCGAAGGCGCUCAUCUGGCCCAAUACUGACGCUGAAGCUCGAAAGCUAGGGGAGCAAACGGG